rnacentral:rRNA from 1 species
GUCUGCCUGUAACUAAUAAGCAGUCUAGCCUGCCCACUGAAACAUAUUAAAGGGCCGCGGUAUCCUGACCGUGCGAAGGUAGCAUAAUAAUUAGUUCUUUAAUUGAGAACCGGAACGAAAGGUUGGACAAAAAGCAAACUGUCUCAACUAUUUUAAUUGAACCUAACUUUUAAGUGAAAAGGCUUAAAUAUAUUAGGGGGACGAUAAGACCCUAUAAAACUUUAUAUAAUAAAAGAUAAAUUACAAUUCGUUCGUUUUAAGUAACUUAUGUUUUAUUAUACUUUGUUGGGGUGACAGGAGCAUAAUUAUUAACUGCUCCUUUUAUUAAACAAAAAUAUUUGACCUUCUGAUCCCUAUUAAGGAUUUUAAGAACAAGUUACUUUAGGGAUAACAGCGUAAUUUUUUUUAAGAGUUCAUAUCGACAAAAAAGUUUGCGACCUCGAUGUUGAAUUAAGUUUUCCUUAUAGUGCAGCAAUUAUAAAGGAUGGUCUGUUCGACCAUUAAAUUUUUACAUGAUUUGAGUUCAAACCGGUGUAAG